GGGGCGUCCAGCUUGCAGCCCGCAGACCGCAUGCAGCCCAGGAUGGCUGCGAAUGUGGCCCAAUGCAAAAUCGUGAAUUUACUUAAAACAUUAUGAGUUUUUUUGCUCUUCAUUUUUCAUU